UCCGAUAUGGUGUAGUGGCUAACAUUAUCGCCUCUCACUUUGUUUGCGCGAUAGCCCGGGGUUCGAUUCCCCGUGUCGGAA